AGACAUAGUGGCACAUGCCUCUGGUCCCAGCCACUUGGGAAGCUGAGGCAGGAGGAUCGCUUGAGCCUGGAAGGUUGGGGCUGCAGUGAGCCAUGAUCAUGCCACUGUGCUCCAGCCUGGGUGACAGAGUGAGACCCUGUCUCAAAAAAAGAAAAAAUGUCACUGAGGCCUAUAAGAGAGAAGCACUGGAAACGGAGUACCCAGGGCUAAUAAGAAAACAAAACCCAGACUCCUCUGCCUGGCUCUGCAGUGCUGGUGGACAGUGCUCACCCAGCUGAUAUGUUUCUCAGUACCAACCUCCCACGAGACCACGUUUCCACAGGCUUCUCUGCCGUGCGUCCUCCUGGAGGAAGGGAGGAAGCGUAGAAGGUGCCGAUGCACUUUUCCUCUCUCCAGCCCUCCUGACUGCUCCAAGAAUUUCAUCGAACAAGACUCAAAGAGGCCCAGCUGCUCUGCGUUUUGAUUCUUCUCCCUCUCUCAGUCCACACUGACCUGGGAGGGGCUUCUCAAACACCACAUUUCCUAGCGUGCUGUGAGAAGAGGACUGUGAGCUAAGAAGGGAGAAAAGAUGGAGUCUCUCACUCCAUCCCCCAGGCACUGGACUGCAGUAGUACGAUCUUGACUCACUGCAACCUCUGCCUCCCAGGUUCAAGCGAUUCUCCUGCCUCAGCCUCCCGAGUAGCUGGGACUACAGGCA
rnacentral:lncRNA from 10 species